ACAUGCAAGUCGAGCGGUAACAUUUCUAGCUUGCUAGAAGAUGACGAGCGGCGGACGGGUGAGUAACGCGUAGGAAUCUGCCUAGUAGUGGGGGACAACAUGUGGAAACGCAUGCUAAUACCGCAUACGCCCUACGGGGGAAAGGAGGGGAUCCUCGGACCUCUCGCUAUUAGAUGAGCCUGCGUGAGAUUAGCUAGUUGGUGGGGUAAAGGCCUACCAAGGCGACGAUCUCUAGCUGGUCUGAGAGGAUGAUCAGCCACACUGGGACUGAGACACGGCCCAGACUCCUACGGGAGGCAGCAGUGGGGAAUAUUGGACAAUGGGCGCAAGCCUGAUCCAGCCAUGCCGCGUGUGUGAAGAAGGCCUUAGGGUUGUAAAGCACUUUCAGGAGUGAGGAAGGGCGUAUAGUUAAUACCUGUAUGUUUUGACGUUAACUCCAGAAGAAGCACCGGCUAACUCUGUGCCAGCAGCCGCGGUAAUACAGAGGGUGCGAGCGUCAAUCGGAA
rnacentral:rRNA from 1 species